GGAUGAACGUUGGCGGUGCGCCUAAUACAUGCAAGUCGAACGGAGACUGUAGCAAUACUGUCUUAGUGGCGAACGGGUGAGUAACGCGUUGGUGAUCUGCCUCGAAGUGUGGAAUAACGUUCCGAAAGGAGCACUAAUACCGCAUGGUCUUCUGGUUUUUAGAACGCCAGAUGUGAAGGAUUUAUUCGCUUCGAGAGGAGCCUGCGUCCCAUCAGCUAGUUGGUAAGGUAAUGGCUUACCAAGGCGAUGACGGGUAGGGGACCUGAGAGGGUGGCCCCCCACAAUGGAACUGAAACACGGUCCAUACACCUACGGGUGGCAGCAGUAGGGAAUAUUAGUAAUGGGCGAAAGCCUGAACUAGCGACACCGCGUGUGCGAAGAAGGCCUUCGGGUUGUAAAGCACUUUUAGAGAGGAUGAGGAAGGACGGUACUCUCUGAAUAAGUCUCGGCUAACUACGUGCCAGCAGCCGCGGUAACACGUAGGAGGCAAACGUUAUCCGGAUUUACUGGGCGUAAAGCGCGUGUAGGUGGUUCUGUAAGUAGGGCGUGAAAGCUCCCGGCUCAACUGGGAGAGGCCGUUCUAAACUGCAGAGCUAGAGGAUGGUAGAGGGAGGUGGAAUUCCGGGUGUAGCGGUGGAAUGCGCAGAUAUCCGGAGGAACACCAGUGGCGAAGGCGACCUCCUGGGCCACUCCUGACACUCAGACGCGAAAGCUAGGGUAGCAAACGGGAUUAGAGACCCCGGUAGUCCUAGCCCUAAACGAUGUUUACUUGACGUCGGCGGCUUAAUCGCCAUCGGUGUCGUAGCUAACGCGAUAAGUAAACCGCCUGGGGACUACGGCCGCAAGGUUAAAACUCAAAGGAAUUGACGGGUCCCCGCACAAGCAGCGGAGCGUGUGGUUUAAUUCGUUGCUACACGAAGAACCUUACCUGGGUUUGACAUAGCAGUGGUAGGGAAACGAAAGUGGACCGACCCUUCGGGGAGCUGUUACAGGUGUUGCAUGGCUGUCGUCAGCUCGUGUCGUGAGAUGUUGGGUUAAGUCCCGCAACGAGCGCAACCCUUGUCAUUAGUUGCCAUCAUUUAGUUGGGCACUCUAAUGAGACUGCCGGUGACAAACCGGAGGAAGGUGGGGAUGACGUCAAGUCCUCAUGGCCCUUAUGGGUAGGGCUUCACACGUCAUACAAUGGUCGGUACAGAGGGUUGCCAAGCCGCGAGGUGGAGCCAAUCCCACAAAGCCGAUCGUAGUCCGGAUCGUAGUCUGCAACUCGACUACGUGAAGUCGGAAUCGCUAGUAAUCGCAGAUCAGCAUGCUGCGGUGAAUACGUUCCCGGGUCU
rnacentral:rRNA from 1 species